UCAAACACAAACUGUUACGCACAAAAAAUCUUUUUUUAGAAAAGUAUUUUUCGAAAUAAGUUGAUUUUAAAAGCUUAGUCAAACACACUAUUAAUUGACAUUAGUUACAAGAAGUUUGUUGAAAUUGUGGUAGGGAAAAUAUAAAUAGGACUAUCUCUCUUUGAUAAUAUAUGUUCGCAGAUGAAAUGAUACACGAAUCAACAGAAACACAAUCGCCGGUGAGGUUUCUCGAUUACUUUGACGGGUUGUUUGGUGUACCCGUAUAGGAAUUAACGCGAGUGAUGCAGAGAUUGUAAUGUACAAAUUAUUCUCUUGUCAGACACUUGUUAAUUUGAUGUUACAAAUUAACAUGUAGUCACUACUAGAAAAUGUGAAAAUUAGUAUUCAGACUAAUUUCCGACUGAAAUUAGUAUUCAGAAAUUUCCGAUGGUUUCGGUCGUAAAAUAUAUGAAAAAAAUUGUUUAUAUUUUUUUUAAUAUUUCUACCAUAUUGGAAAUUUAGUUUUCAGUCGAUCCAUGAAAGUCAAGUUUUUAAUGUUUGACCACUUCUGGACUUUCGAUUGAAACGAUCGGAAAAUUAUAAACUAUAUAAUUAAUUUUUCGAUUCGGUUAGAAAUAUUUUUAAAUUUUUUGUCAGUGCUUUUCCAAUCAAAACGUCGGAAAUUAAAUUAUUUUUUUAAUUUUACUUUUGUUUCCGGUCGAAAAUCUAAUUUAAAACCCUCCACCGACCUAUUUCUUCUUUUCUCCUUCUUUAUCUUUUCUUCCUUUCUUUCUCUUCUCUUUCUCCUCCAUCGCCGGCGGUCGUGUUCGAAUAUCAAUUUUUCGGCGGGCAGCAAUUCCAGCAUGCGGGCUUUGUUUUUUUCCGGCGAGGUUUUUGCCAUCCUAUCAGGCCACACAUAUGGUUGUGAAAUCUAUUGAGCGAUUUUUUUAUGAGCCGUGGAAUUCCUGGAGAGAGAUAUCAUACCAUAUCAGAGUGAAUAUGUGGCUUCAAUUUAAGACUAAGUGUGUAUGAUAUCCUCAGCAUGAAAUUCGGGUGAAUGCUAUUUUCGAGAAGGGAGCUCAGAAAAGGAUUAAAGAUACUCAUUUUGUUGCUCGGAAAGGUGGCAACAUGCCCGAUUGGUUACGUCAAGAUAUCUCGCUUUAACUAUUGGAGAAGUGAAACACCAAUGAAUAGAAGCAAAAGAGUGAAAAAGAGAAGGCAAACAGAGCCUCCAAAAAGGCACAUGGGGAAAUGUGUCAUGCUCAUGUCUUUGAGGAUACACAUAAGAAGAAGAAGAAGAAGAAGAAGAAGAAGAAGAAUGGGUCGAACCGCGUGCAUCAGAGACAUGACGAGUAUCAACGAUUUAUGAAGGAAUGGCAACAAACUCAACCUGAUUCCCAACCGACGCCCGAAGAUAUGACUUCGAUAUGGACACAAGCAGCCGGUGGAGUAGAUAAAGAUAUAGAAUUUUUUAGUAAUAUUUAUUUUAAUAUUAUUUUGCACAAAUUGUAUGUUUCUUCUCUUGCUCAUUUAAUUUUAAUUUUUUUAUUUCUCAUGAAAAUAAAUAAAGGUAGAGUCUACGGACUUGGAGUUAAACCGUCGUUCGGCCGCA